rnacentral:sRNA from 1 species
GUGUGUCGAGGGGACCCUGUGGUUAGCAGCAGCUAUCGCAGCGUCGGAUGUUCAGAGCAGCAGAAGGCGGCGUCGUCGGAUGUUGUGUUGCCCGCCACCAUGAGCUACACAGGCUUUGUCCAGGGAUCUGAAACCACUUUGCAGUCGACAUACUCGGAUACCAGCGCUCAGCCCACCUGUGAUUAUGGGUAUGGAACUUGGAACUCUGGGACAAAUAGAGGCAAGUGUCAUUCCUGUGAUUGCUGUCCUGUCCCUUGGGGUUGUUCUGGCUGUGUUUCUCUGCUGCUGCCCCACUUGGCCAAGGUUGGGACUGGGGAGGGGGCACGUUUCUGGGGUUACCUACUCCUUAACAGGAGGCCCUCAUCAGAAUGACCAGGGCCCAUCUGGCCUCAGUGGCUAGGGUCUUCUCUCUCUGUGACAGAAGAUACCCUUGUAUCUGUGUUUGUCUCUGUCUCUGUCUGCCUCCCCUCUGCCUGCCCCCACCAUCUGUCUGUCUCUGUCUCCCUCACUGCAGGCUACGAGGGCUAUGGCUAUGGCUAUGGCUAUGGCCAGGAUAACACCACCAACUAUGGGUAUGGUAUGGCCACUUCACACUCUUGGGAAAUGCCUAGCUCUGACACAAAUGCAAACACUAGUGCCUCGGGUAGCACCAGUGCCGAUUCCGUUUUAUCCAGAAUUAACCAGCGCUUAGAUAUGGUGCCGCAUUUGGAGACAGACAUGAUGCAAGGAGGCGUGUACGGCUCAGGUGGAGAAAGGUAUGACUCUUAUGAGUCCUGUGACUCGAGGGCCGUCCUGAGUGAGCGCGACCUGUACCGGUCAGGCUAUGACUACAGCGAGCUUGACCCUGAGAUGGAAAUGGCCUAUGAGGGCCAAUACGAUGCCUACCGCGACCAGUUCCGCAUGCGUGGCAACGACACCUUCGGUCCCAG